CCAGAACUCAAUCUCAAUUUCAAGUAAAUCAUCAGAUAUAUCAGACCUUUAUUCUGGUAUCAAUCAAGGCAUUUUUGAAAGGUGUGCUGUUAUAGUUCAUUGCAUCUUCAAAUAGAAUAUAUAUGUCAGGCCACUGUUCUGUGAAGUACUGUUCCAUAUUGGCUCAGUCCUCUGCUGAUGUAAUGGAGUCACUGCCAAAUAUUGACAACAUGGUCAGAGGUGAACCCACUUAGUGAUCUGCAGCAAUAGAGGCAUUGAGCAGCAGCUCUUCCUCAAUCUUGGCUCUGCAUCCCCCCUCAGUCAGGAUAUUGGAUGUUCCACUACCUGAAAUAAGUUUUCAAAGCACUUGUGAGCAGUCCCUCGUUUAUUUGACAGUACUAGAGCCAGUGGCCUUGUUAGAACAUAUUUAGUACACAAUAAAAAGGCAAAGAAGAGUUUUAACUGCUCCCAGUCUUGUGCUUUACAAAGGUUGUGUUCACAGUCAUAGAGGGUAAAUAGUUAACCAAUUACACUUACUGGAAAUGUAAUUCCAAUGAAAAUGAAGUGAAACUGUACGGAGCAUGAGUCACAGCUUACGUUACACUUCCAUUUAAUCUUUGUCCAAAGUGUUUCUCAUUAAUCCACUGGUAUUUCAUCAACUAGGUUGGAAUGCAGCUGGAGGAGGAAGUGUCCCAAAAAAAUCUACAAAUUAGCUGAGGUAUAAUGCAGCUAAUGGUGGAGAAAGAAGCCCAGGGAAGCCUGAGGAGAGGAUUCUGAGGGCAGGAGCAUGAGGAGACGAGCAUGAGGAGGGGACCAUGAGAAGAGGAGCAUUAGGAGAGAUGCCCAUGUCUGCCCGGAGAUCAACUCCCUGAACCUGUAAAUCAACAACAGCACAGUGAUCCUGGAUCAGAUACGGACCAGGAUAUGUCCUGGUCCGUAUCUGAGGUUCAGAGAGUUGAUCUCCAGGCACCCUCAGUCUCUCCUCACCCUCAGUCUUCAUCACUCUGUCAAGGAACAUGCAAUUAUGUACUGAUCAGAGUUAACCAGCUGCAUAGGAUUAUAUUACUAUAGUCAGAUACAGAUCAAUGUCUUUCUAGUUACUGUCAGGGCAGUUAGGUUUCUAUAUCACUGAGGGAUUAAUGUGAGGUUGAAUUGGCAAAACUAACAAACUGCACUACACUUUAAAAUUAAGCAGUUUAAAACUGUUGGACCGUCCUGAAUGUCCUCAUUUUGUGUUCCUGAACACUAUGUUGUUAUUGUCCUCACCUGUGUUCCUGAACACUGAGUUGUUAUUCAAUCAAUCACAUUUAUUUAUAAAGCGCUUUUUACAACAGCAGUUGUCACAAAGUGCUUUACAGAGACACCCGGCCUUAAACCCCAAGGAGCAAACAACAGUAGUGUUGAAUUUCAGUGGCUAGGAAAAACUCCCUAAGAAGGCCACAUUUUUGGAAGAAACCUAGAAAGGACCCAUGCUCAGAGGGGUGACCAGUCCUCUUCUGGCUGUGCCGGGUGAGAUAUUAAGAGUCCCAUUGGAAUAAUUAAUACAUUUCUCUGGGCUAAAUCCAGAGUCUAUUUGAUUUUAGACUAGGUCAGAAGUAUAACCAGGUGGACAAGGACAGGGACAGCAACGGGCCCCCAAAACCAGGUAAUCCGCAGCUGUGGACCAGGACCUCAUCUCCUCCUAAAAUUUAAAACUGGAGGAGACUGAGAAAAGUUAGAAGUGCAUUCCUCAUAUCCCCCAGUACAUUAAUAAAGCAGCGUAAGACCUUGGAACUGAGAUGGGGGGGGGGGGGGGUCCGGUGACACUGUGGCCCUACCCGGGGGAGGCCCCAGAUAGGCAUUGUCUUGUGUGUCUGGAAAGGCAUUGUCUUGUGUGUCUGGAAAGGCAUUGUCUUGUGUGUCUGGACGGUAAUUGUUUGGAUUCUAUUCCUUUGUAACUGUUCUGUUUUCAUGUUCUGUUUUCAAGUUAUUUUAUAUUUCAGUUCUUUAAUUAAAGUCCUUUGUUCUCUGUACGCUUGUGUCAUGCCUCCAUCUGCAACAUGAUCACUUCUCAGUUGUUAGAGCUUCAUAGAAGCUGUUAGAUGCCUUGUGAGGUGUGAAGCUUGUUAGUUCUGUUAUUAGUAGAGACAAGUACAAUUGGAUGUGACAAUGUAAAGGUCAUUCAGGGGCUAAGGGGGUGUGAGGACCAGUCUACAACAUUUGAACUACAACCAGAUUAUGAAUCCCCAUCCAGCCCUUAUCCCUCAGGCACUUGCUCAGAAUGCCCUUCAUGGUCAGUUGUUGCUGACGAAACUCAGGGUCUGACAUCAACAGAGUGGCUAUGGGUUUAAUAAUCACAUAAGUCUUCAUUAGCUUUUUGUUGUGCAAAAAACUGAGGAAUAAGUAGGCCUAUACAAAAGAAGAAAGUAUGUAUGGAAGACAAUGAGAACGCUGUCCUCCCACCUUAUCCCAAGGAACUAAUGACACUAUAGGCCACCUAUUCAACUCAGAAAGCACAAAGACCAAC
ensembl:lncRNA